rnacentral:lncRNA from 1 species
GUUAAGUUUAGUUCCCAUGUAAAGGUGGCCAUGCACGACAUGCAAAGGUGGUCAUGCUCGAAGAAAUAGCAGCAAGCAGUGGUGCCAUGGUGUGCAGCAACUGAAGUUUGAAGCUGCCAAUCCACUUGCUAUUUUUUAGUUCCAUUUUGAUUGUUUUGUAAUCUAGUUCAUGUUGAACUAAGUAGGUAAAUGUUUUGACAUUGAUUGACUGAAAAGUCAGCAAUGCAAGUUGUACAAGCUAAUCUUGUAAGUUUCAAUGCAAAUUAGUGGAGUUAGGUAGUUGAUUAGGUGAUUACUUGUUUGUUUUACUUGUUGACAGAAAUAUGUAAUGGCUUAAUGCCUUGUUGAUGUGUUAAUGAAAAAGAUCAGCUCAUUUUUCAUUCAAUCUUCUUCUCUCUUUUCUGUUAUUCACUAGCUAGUUUCACUUUCUGUUUUGCUUCUGAGUUUGUUUCUUCACCAAGGCUCGAGACUUGCUAUUCAAGCAAGACACAAAACAGCCUGCUAUUGUCUUAUUGUUCCAACAAUUGGUAUCUAAAGCCGUUGUCUUAGUGGACCUGUUGCUUCAAACUAAGGAACCUGAUGGCUUCUUCAGGAUUUUCACCAGCAGCCCCACCAGUCUUCAAUGGAGAAAGCUUUCAUAUAUGGCUGGUAAAGAUGAAGACUUACCUGCAGGCCUUUGAUCUGUGGGAAGUUGUUAACACAGAUGCUGAGCCAGCACCACUGAGGGCUAAUCCCACAGUAGCUCAGAUCAGACAACAUGCUGAUGAGAGGACCAAAAGGCACAAAGCCAUGUCCUGCAUUCAGAACUGUGUAUCAGAUGUCAUCUUUACCAGAAUUAUGGCCUGUGAGACUCCAAAACAGGCCUGGGACAAGCUUAAGGAGGAGUUUCAAGGCACUGAGAGAACAAGGCAACAGCAGCUGUUGAAUUUGAGAAGGGAUUUCGAGAAUUUGAAGAUGAAGGAAGAAGAAACAGUGAAGCAGUAUUCAGAUAGAAUUAUGGCAGUGGUUAACAGUAUAAGGCUCCUAGGUGAGCACUUUGAUGAGGCAAGAAUUGUGGAGAAAGUCCUCUCCACUUUGCUUGAGAAAUAUGAAGCAAAGAUAUCCUCCCUAGAGGACUCAAGAGACCUUGCUAGCAUUUCUUUGACUGAGUUCAUCAACACCUUCUAUGCUCAGGAACAAAGGAGAGCUAGCAGAGCUGAAGAUCACCAAGAAGGUGCAUUUCAAGCCAAGGCCAGAGAAGCCUCGAGCACCAAUGCUCAAAGAGGCAAAAAGCCUUGGAAAAACAGGUCUAAGCCUGAUACUGCAAGGAGUAAUGACCAGCCCUGCAGACAUUGCAAGAGGCCAGGUCAUCCAGAAGACAGAUGCUGGUUUAGGCCAGAUGCAGUAUGCCAACACUGCAAGAAGAAGGGCCAUGUUGAAAGGGUCUGUAAAAACAGGAGUAAGCCAAGGCAGAAUCAAUUUCAGCAGUCAAAGGUUGAAGCUCGAGUAGCUGAGGACAGUAGUGACCAAGAAGAACAGGUCUUUGCUGUUUCCUGCCUAGCUGUUGAGAAGAAAUGCUCAAAAGGCUGGUUGUUGGACAGUGGUUGCACUAACCACAUGUCACCAGAUGCCUCCUUGUUUAAAACCUUGGAUAGAAGUUAUAAAACCAAGGUCAAUGUUGGAAAUGGUCAGUUUAUAAGGGCUGAAGGAAGAGGAGAAGUGCUGAUAUGUACUCCCACUGGCAACAAGAUCAUUCCAAAUGUGCUGUUAGUGCCAGAGAUUGACAGAAACCUUCUCAGCAUAGCUCAACUGCUCGAGAAAGGUUAUUCUGUUGUGUUCAAGGACAAACAAUGCCACAUUACUGAUCCAAGUGGAUCAAGCCUUAUGACAGUCACAAUGACUGAUAAAUGCUUUGAGGUUCACUGGGCUAAUGACUCAAACUCAGCAUACACAGCCUCUGUUGAUGACUCCAAGCUUUGGCAUCAAAGGCUUGGACAUGCCAACUUCAGAUCAAUGGCUCGAAUGGCCAAAGAAGGCUUGGCAGAGAACUUCACCAGCUCAGUGGAGCAUGAUGAUGUGUGUGAAGUUUGCCAGAUGGGGAAACAGGCUAGACUGCCAUUUCCUACAGAUUCAGCUUGGAGAGCUACUGAAAGACUGCAGCUGGUGCACUCUGAUGUAUGUGGCCCGAUGAGGACUGAAUCACUCAGCAAAAACAGGUAUUUCAUCCUCUUCAUUGAUGAUUUUACAAGGUUUUGCUGGAUUUUCUUCUUAAAACACAAGUCUGAAGUAGCUCAAGUGUUUGUGAAGUUUAAAAAUGCUGUAGAGACAGAAACAGGUUGCAAGCUGAAAUCGAUAAGGACAGACAAUGGCACUGAGUACACUUCAGCUCAGUUUCAAGCCAUUUGCAAUGAUGCUGGUAUCAAACAUCAGCUUACAAAUGUCUACACACUUCAGCAGAAUGGGGUAGCUGAAAGAAAGAACAGAAGCCUGAUGGAUAUGGCCAGAUGUCUCCUGUUUGAAAAGAAACUGCCCAAGACCAUGUGGGCUGAGGCAGUAAACACUGCUGUUUACCUUCAGAACAGGCUUCCUACCAAAGCUCUUGCAUCCGAGACACCUUUCGAGGCUUGGUUUAGUUUCAAGCCUUCCUUGGCACAUCUGAAGGUGUUUGGUUGCCUGUGUUAUGCACAAAUACCAGCAGCAAAGAGAGACAAGCUCUCUAAAAGGGCUCAACCAGGUGUUCUAGUAGGCUACAGCUCAGUCAAGAAGGGCUACAGGGUUCUGGAUCCCUUGACAAACAAAGUCCAGGUGAGCAGAGAUGUCAUCUUUGAUGAAAAAGCCUACUGGAAUUGGGAGAAAAAUGAGCCAGAAGCAGUUUCAGAAGACCUAGUGCCUAAUCAAGCUAAACUUGAGCAGCUAGGACCUGAAAUGGAUGUUGAUGAUGUGCCUGUGAGAGGCACAAGGCCCCUAGAUGAUAUUUAUGAAAGGGCACAGGUUGCAAUAGCAGAACCUAGCAGUUUUGAAGAGGCUGAGGCAGAUGAAGGCUGGAAACUAGCUAUGCUCAAUGAAAUCAACAUGAUUGAGAAAAACCAGACAUGGGAGCUGGUUGAUAAACCUACUGGAAAGAAGACCAUUGGAGUAAAAUGGGUCUAUCGAGUAAAACAGAAUGCAGAUGGCAGUCUGAACAAGCUAAAAGCCAGGCUUGUUGUCAAAGGAUUUAGCCAAAGGUAUGGUCUGGAAUACCUGGAGACAUUUGCACCAGUAGCCAGGCUUGACACAGUUAGAAUGAUAGUUGCCUUGGCUGCUCAACAUCAGUGGACCAUUCAUCAGCUUGAUGUUAAGUCUGCAUUUCUCAAUGGUUUCCUGGAAGAAGAAAUCUACAUCGAGCAGCCUCAAGGAUUUGUGAUCACUGGCAAAGAACACAUGGUGUACAGACUGAAAAAGGCUUUAUAUGGCCUGAAACAGGCUCCUCGAGCCUGGUAUGCUCGAAUUGACUCUUAUUUGCUCAGUUUGGAAUUUGAGAGAAGUCCCAGUGAACCAACACUGUAUGUGAAGAAGAACCAAGCUGAGACUCAGCUUAUCCUGUCACUCUAUGUUGAUGAUCUAUUGGUAACUGGAGGAGAUAGAAGAAUGCUGGAAGAUUUCAAAAGAAAAAUGAUGGAAAUGUUUGAAAUGUCUGAUUUAGGCAGAAUGAACUACUUCCUUGGAAUGGAAAUGAGGCAAACAGAAAAGGGAAUCUUUCUUAGUCAGAGUUCUUUUACUAUGAAGAUCCUGGAUAAGUUCUCUAUGAAGAACUGCAAGCCAACAAGCACACCAAUGGCUGUUGGAGUGAAGCUUUCGAGGCAAGGGAGUGGUGAACCAAUUUGCGAGACCAUGUACAAGAGUCUCAUUGGUAGUCUGUUGUAUUUGACUGCAACAAGACCCGAUAUCAUGUUUGCUGUUAGUGUGCUAUCGAGAUACAUGAAUUGCUGCAAUGAUCAGCACUUUCAAGCAGCUAAAAGAGUGCUAAGAUACAUCAAAGGCACCAUUGAUCAUGGUGUAUUGUUCAAAAGGGCUGAAAACAUGAAGCUGAUAGGCUAUGUUGAUAGUGACUGGGCUGGAUCGAGUGAUGACAUGAGGAGCACAUCUGGAUAUGCAUUUAGUCUUGGCUCAGGCAUGUUUUGCUGGAGUUCUAAGAAACAAAGUCAGGUGGCACAAUCAACAGCAGAAGCUGAAUAUGUUGCUGCUGCAUCUGCUGUGAAUCAAGCCAUAUGGCUUAGAAAAAUCUUGGCUGAUUUAAACCAAAACCAAAAGGAGGCAACAGAGAUUUAUUGUGACAACAAAUCUGCUGUUGCAAUUGCAAAAAAUCCCGUUUUUCAUGGCAGAACUAAGCACUUCAAUAUUAAGUUGCAUGUUAUAAGGGAGAUGGAACAAGCUCAUGAAAUCGAGCUGAUUCAUUGCAAUUCAGAAGUGCAAAUUGCUGAUAUCUUCAAAAAGGCACUCAAUGUGUCUAAAUUUGUUAAAUUCAAAAGGGAAUUAGGUGUUACUAGCAUGGAAACUAAGGAGGAGUGUUAAGUUUAGUUCCCAUGUAAAGGUGGCCAUGCACGACAUGCAAAGGUGGUCAUGCUCGAAGAAAUAGCAGCAAGUAGUGGUGCCAUGGUGUGCAGCAACUGAAGUUUGAAGCUGCCAAUCCACUUGCUGUUUUUUAGUUCCAUUUUGAUUGUUUUGUAAUCUAGUUCAUGUUGAACUAAGUAGGUAAAUAUUUUGACAUUGAUUGACUGAAAAGUCAGCAAUGCAAGUUGUACAAGCUAAUCUUGUAAGUUUCAAUGCAAAUUAGUGGAGUUAGGUAGUUGAUUAGGUGAUUACUUGUUUGUUUUACUUGUUGACAGAAAUAUGUAAUGGCUUAA